GAUGAACGCUGGCGGCGUGCUUAACACAUGCAAGUCGAACGAAGCAUUUAAGACAGAUUACUUCGGUUUGAAGUCUUUUAUGACUGAGUGGCGGACGGGUGAGUAACGCGUGGGUAACCUGCCUCAUACAGGGGGAUAGCAGCGGGAAACGGCUGGUAAUACCGCAUAAGCGCCAAGUACCACAUGGUACAGGGUGAAAAACUCCGGUGGUAUGAGAUGGACCCGCGUCUGAUUAGCUUGUGGGCGGGGUAACGGCCCACCAAGGCGACGAUCAGUAGCCGACCUGAGAGGGUGACCGGCCACAUUGGGACUGAGACACGGCCCAGACUCCUACGGGAGGCAGCAGUGGGGAAUAUUGCACAAUGGAGGAAACUCUGAUGCAGCGACGCCGCGUGAGUGAAGAAGUAGUUCGCUAUGUAAAGCUCUAUCAGCAGGGAAGAUAGUGACGGUACCUGACGAAGAAGCUCCGGCUAAAUACGUG
rnacentral:rRNA from 1 species